ACCGGCGGGGACAUUUUCAAUCCU
rnacentral:miRNA from 8 species